rnacentral:lncRNA from 1 species
UUAAGCUCAGAGUUCUUCAGCUGUGACAUAACUCAACUGUGUGCAAAUCCCCCUGAGCCCAGCUCAGGUUCAACUCCGUGGAGCUUGGUGGGUAAGAGGAACUGAUGCACUGCCUGCUCUGUGAUGCAUAAUAGAGUAAUAAACUCCUUUUUCUCUAACCCAGGAGCUUCAUGUCUCCUGUCAUCAUCUAGGAAAGUGGUAUCUUGCAAUCGGUAAAAUCUCAGACCCAGCACAGUUCUUGAAAUGUAAAAUGACUCUUCUUUUACUUUCAUUUCUUGGGAAGCAUGUUUUUAUUAUCUGUCACUACCACACAUUCUUACAGAACUUUCUGAGAGUUCCUCCAGUAAUAGAAGGGCUUAUGAAUGCUCAUGGAAGUGGAUAAAAAUGUAUCGAGAAAUUUAUUUCAAUGAGCUAGUCUGAAAGAGCUAUUUGCCAAAUGGCUUUCUUUCCAAUACUUAAUGAAAAGAUGCAUUUUGUACUACUUUCAAAAAGUGAUAUGGACAGGAGACGGAAAUACUGGGUAGAAAAGGGCAGUUCCCUGGCAAAGCCUCACCCUCAAGCCUGGAUACCUGCUGUCUUAAACGAAAACGAAAACAGGCAUUUCUGUGUUCAUGCUCCAAAAGUUAUCUUUUGGCCUGCCACACCCCCUAUCCUGCACCCAUAUGAAUCCCGAACCCCAGACUCCAGAAGCAGACCAGCAAGCCCGCAGACCAGCAGAAGGAUGGCAGAACGAUGUGGCAGAGAAAGGGAGAAGAGGAGGAACAUCUGAAUGCCAAAAUGAGUUCAGCUGGGGGCAGUCAGAGAGGAGUCCAGCCACUGGGCAGCCAGAAUCCAGGGGAGGAUCACCUUUCCACUUCAUCCCCUUCCUCUGCCUCCCCAUCCAUCCUGCUGAAAGCCACCUCCACCACUCAAUAAAACCUGCCAUUCAUCCUUGGAGUCCAUGUGUGACCUGAUUUUUCCAAGACACUGGACAAGAGCUCAGAUACAGAAAGCUAUCACCUUGGCCCUCUGCCCUUGUGAAAAGGCAGAGAGUUCAUUGAGCUGAUUAACACUCAAGCCAUCUGCAGACGGCAAAGCUGAAAGAGCAUUGUGGCUCACUCCUGCAAUCCCAGGACUUUGGGAGGCCAAGGCGGGUGGAUCACAAGGUCAGGAGUUCGAGACCAGCCUGGCCAACAUGGUGAAACCCCGUCUCUACUAAAAAUACAGAAAUUAGCUGGGCAUGGUGGUGUGCAAUCCCAGCUACUCGGGAGGCUGGCACAGGAGAAUUGCUUGAACCAGGGAGGCAGAAGUUGCAGUGGGCCGAGAUCACGCCACUGCACUCCAGCCUGGGUGACAGAGUGAGACACC